rnacentral:rRNA from 1 species
CGGGUGGUAAUGCCGGAUGCUCCAGUUGAUCGCAUGGUCUUCUGGGAAAGCUUUCGCGGUAUGGGAUGGGGUCGCGUCCUAUCAGCUUGACGGCGGGGUAACGGCCCACCGUGGCUUCGACGGGUAGCCGGCCUGAGAGGGCGACCGGCCACAUUGGGACUGAGAUACGGCCCAGACUCCUACGGGAGGCAGCAGUGGGGAAUAUUGCACAAUGGGCGCAAGCCUGAUGCAGCGACGCCGCGUGAGGGAUGGAGGCCUUCGGGUUGUAAACCUCUUUUAUCGGGGAGCAAGCGAGAGUGAGUUUACCCGUUGAAUAAGCACCGGCUAACUACGUGCCAGCAGCCGCGGUAAUACGUAGGGUGCAAGCGUUAUCCGGAAUUAUUGGGCGUAAAGGGCUCGUAGGCGGUUCGUCGCGUCCGGUGUGAAAGUCCAUCGCUUAACGGUGGAUCCGCGCCGGGUACGGGCGGGCUUGAGUGCGGUAGGGGAGACUGGAAUUCCCGGUGUAACGGUGGAAUGUGUAGAUAUCGUGAAAAGAACACC